CAGCAUGUUGAUGAAGGUGAGCAGAAUGAGCGCGAUGGCAAUGUGACGCAACCAGCUGAAAGACUUGGUGGGGAAUAACAUCUGCUGGAUGGCUCUACGUACCUGUGGACAGACAGAGACAGAAGAUUCAAACUGGGCUUCCAUAGCUCUCAGUGGUUGAAUGGGUGUUAAGAUCCUAAAAAGGUUUCUGGAAAAAGUUCCUGUGGCAAAAAGAACCACUAAUCCACAAGACCCCUGACAAAAGUCUAACAGUUAACAGUCAGACACACAGAUGAUGCGCGUCAUUCAGAGUUGCUAAUAGUUCUCAAACUACUUGGGAGGAUGAAACAGACUGUUCUAGUUCUACUCACCGAGCUGUUUCAUUAAAGCCAGGGGCAAGAUGAUACUGCCAGAGACCAUGAUGACCAGGUAGUUUCCAUUCAAGUAC